GACGGAGGAUGCAAGUGUUAUCCGGAAUCACUGGGCGUAAAGCGUCUGUAGGUGGUCAAUAAGUCAACUGUUAAAUCUUGAGGCUCAACCUCAAAAAUCGCAGUCGAAACUAUUAGGCUAGAGUAUAGUAGGGGUAAAGGGAAUUUCCAGUGGAGCGGUGAAAUGCGUAGAGAUUGGAAAGAACACCGAUGGCGAAGGCACUCUACUGGGCCAUGACUGACACUGAGAGACGAAAGCUAGGGGAGCAAAUGGG
rnacentral:rRNA from 1 species